rnacentral:rRNA from 1 species
CCUACGGGUGGCAGCAGUGAGGAAUAUUGGUCAAUGGACGAGAGUCUGAACCAGCCAAGUAGCGUGAAGGAUGACUGCCCUAUGGGUUGUAAACUUCUUUUAUAUGGGAAUAAAAUGUUGCACGUGUGGGAUUUUGUAUGUACUAUAUGAAUAAGGAUCGGCUAACUCCGUGCCAGCAGCCGCGGUAAUACGGAGGAUCCGAGCGUUAUCCGAAUUUAUUGGGUUUAAAGGGAGCGUAGGUGGGUUGUUAAGUCAGUUGUGAAAGUUUGCGGCUCAACCGUAAAAUUGCAGUUGAAACUGGCAGUCUUGAGUACAGUAGAGGUAGGCGGAAUUCGUGGUGUAGCGGUGAAAUGCUUAGAUAUCACGAAGAACUCCGAUUGCGAAGGCAGCUUACUGGACUGCAACUGACACUGAGGCUCGAAAGUGUGGGUAUCAAACAGGAUUAGAUACCCGGGUAGUC